UCGAGAGUAGACGAGAAGUCAAACUUGGUCAAAGAUUAUUGAACGAGAAAGGGCAUUAAAAAGAGUUUAGCGACACACCGGGAAUUCGUUGAUACGCGCAGCUAAGAUGGAAAACCAGAAUGAGAAACGCAACGCCCCGACAUAUUAAUAAUUUUUUAUUAAUUUAAAGUAUUUUUAUAUUUCGAGCCUAGAAGCCAUAAACUGUGUUCCAACACUUAGCUCCCUUCGUAGAGAAUUCAAAAUUAUAAACAAAUAUUUUGUACUAAUUUUUUUUUUUUUUUUUUUUAAUUGCUCUGCAUUGCUUCAUUUAAAAAUUUCAUUUUUUGUAUUAUUCAAUUCUUGGAUUGUCUAGCUUCCCAGGAUCUAGGCUAAAGUGAAAGUAACUGACUUGCUGAGAUGGCCAACAGCGAAGGCUAAUAAACGUAAAAUAAUUGUGGCCCUCAAGGAAAUCAGGCGUUCGCCAGGCAGCAAGUGGAAAGGCCAACUAAACGAAACGGGACAUUAGGAAUUGCAGCAGGCAUGCCGUGCGGUUGAGCAGGUGGUGGUGGCACACUAAUUACAGCAGGGCGCGUGUCAGAAGGGACUCAGCAGCCAGCACGCGACCUUGCACUGCCGGCUGAAAUUUGUGGUGCAAGGUCAGGAGCGAACCGCAGUCGCCAUCAAGGUUAAUUGUCCAUUAAGCGUGCGGAGAAAGUGCAAGUGUCUGGAAAUGCCACCACCAAAGUGGCAUCAAGCGCCCGCCAAUGCCAGCGACUGGGCUGCAUCUUAACCAAACUGCCCGGACUGUGUGUGUGUGUGUGUGUGUGUGUGUGUGUGUGUGCGAGUGUUAUUUAUGAGGUCAAUGCGCUCAUUUAGCUCCGACUUUGACUUUUAGCUUGGCCAACUGACCGACUGGUGCAUCGCUCAGCUGGCUAUGCAUUUAAAAUAUAUCAGUGAAAGACUUAGGCAAAUAAAAUGGGUGAGAAUUUAAGUUCUCUAGCGAGAGCUGACUAUGCCUCCUCAGUCUGGCUGUUCUGUAAAGAAAAGAAAUCUCUGCAUGAAUCUAUUUCAACAGGAAUUGCUGCCUCUAUUCGACGUCAUAAGCUCAGAUAAAUUGAAAAGUUUUAUUAAAUUUUAAGCUUCAAUUUAUAAAUAAAAUAUAUUCUUAUUGAGAACUGUUUGCUCCGGGUCUGCUACGAUCAAAUUGAAUAAAAAUCGAUCAACAUCA